GAUGGGCCUGUAUGAGACUGUGAACGAGCCGGGUCAGCUCAACCCAGACACAAUGGAGGUGCUGUCUCUUGUGCUGCGAGCUAACUGCAGGAAUAACCGUUGCUAUGAAGCUGUGCACCUGCUGGUUUCACCGUCUCUCCACUGAUCUGCUGUUCAAACCAGUAUGCUGUGUUACCCAAAUCUAUUUCCUCAUCAGUGUGGCAGACAAUUGUAGUUAGGAUUCGAGGCUUUUCUUCUACCAGCCCGCUCACCUCCUAGGUUUUAUUUUGUUUCCUCAAGCAGUGGACACAUUCCUGCCGAUCUCUGGGUUAUUUAAUUUGGACAGAGCAUAUAUAAGACUGAACAGAUGGCUGAAAGCAGUCAAGGGAAGACCGUAACAUGUUCCUCGUGCUUGGCCUCAUUUCAACCAAGCAAUGUUGUGGGUGUUUGCCCCCGUUGCAACCAAGACCCCGUGUGUUUUGGGGGGUUGUUACCAG
rnacentral:lncRNA from 1 species